rnacentral:rRNA from 1 species
GAUGAACGCUAGCGACAGGCCUAACACAUGCAAGUCGAGGGGCAGCACAUGAGUAGCAAUACGAUGGUGGCGACCGGCGCACGGGUGAGUAACACGUAUGCAACCUGCCUGUAAGAGGGGAAUAACCCGGAGAAAUUCGGACUAAUACCGCAUAAUACCACGAGACUGCAUGGUUUUGUGGUUAAACAUUUAUGGCUUACAGAUGGGCAUGCGUAUGAUUAGAUAGUUGGUAGGGUAACGGCCUACCAAGUCUACGAUCAUUAGGGGUUCUGAGAGGAAGGUCCCCCACACUGGUACUGAGACACGGACCAGACUCCUACGGGAGGCAGCAGUGAGGAAUAUUGGUCAAUGGGCGAGAGCCUGAACCAGCCAAGUCGCGUGAAGGAAGAAGGUUCUAUGGAUUGUAAACUUCUUUUGCAGGGGAAUAAAGGACGGUACGUGUACUGUUUUGUAUGUACCUUGCGAAUAAGGAUCGGCUAACUCCGUGCCAGCAGCCGCGGUAAAG